rnacentral:lncRNA from 10 species
CUGAGAGCUCUGCCCUUAUGAAUGGAUUAGUAUCAUUAUUGCAGGAGUGGCUUCAUGAUGGAGAGAGUGGAUUUGUCAUGAAAGUGAGUUCGGCCAUUCCUUGCUGUCUCACGUGCCACCUCUUGCCAUGGGAUGCCCUCGCCAUGGGAUGACAGCAAGAAGGCCCUUGCUUGAGUGAGCCCCUCCAUCUUCGGCUCUCCGGCCUCCAGGACUGUUAGAAAUACAUCUCUGUUCUUUGUAAAUUACCCAGGCUGUAGUACUCUGUUAUAGCAACACAAAACAGACUAAGACACUACUAUGUAGAUGAAGAAACAGGCCCAAGAGGUGAGGAGUGUUGUCCAGGUCUUCUGGCCAGAGGAGCGGCAGAGAUGGGAUUUCAACCCUGGGACUGUGUGGCUUGUGACCACUCCUAGCUUCAGCCCUGCCCGGUGCUGAGGGGUUUGGGGCCAGAACGAUGGCCAGAUGUUUGGGCACACUGGGCCCUACCCACCUGGAAAGAGGCUGGCCUGGGGUUGAAUGAGAACCAGAAGUGACUCAGGCUAGGACCCCUCUGCACCCUCCCUCAGGCCGUGGGUAAUUACCUGCCCAGGUUAAUAGCGCCCACUUCCCGCCACCUUUCAUCAAGGCUCCUGGAGCUGCCAGGCAGUAAUUAACCCUCACAGCACCCUUCUGAAGUCAGCACUGGAGGCAGACGUGUGAUGAAACACGUUUAUUACAGGAAGCACCAGUUAGCCCAGAUGCUUCUCAUCUUUGGAGUUGAGCUGCAGGCUGGAGACCUGGAAGGCCCUCGCAGCGCCUGCUCCCAUCCUCUCACCUCACGAAAGCGCAGGAAUGUGGGUUUGGAGCCAAUGAAAAGUACUGGAAUCUGGCUCUGCUCUGUGACCCUGGACAAGUCACUGCCCCUCUCUGGGCUUCAGUUUCCUCCUUGGUAACACAGAAUGAUUAUACCUACCCCUUGGGUUUGUUGACCUGAAUCUACCCCUCAGUCAUUGCCUUUCCUUCUUGCUGCAGCCACACUGGCCCCUUGACAGUUCCUUGAACACAACAAGCCCUUUCCCACCUCAGGGCCUUUGCAUGUGCAGUGCCAGAUGCCUGGAAUGUCCUUCCUUCCAAUCUCCCCAUGGCCGGCUCAUUCUCAUCUUUCUUGGCUCAAAUGUUACCUCCCCAACCUAGACAGCACCGCUGCCACCUCUUCACCCCGUCUUACUCUUCUUCAAGCACUUCUGGAGGUAUCUUGCUAUUUAUCUUGUUUAUAUCUUUUUCAGCUCCAUGAGGGCAGGGGAUUUUGUCUGUUUCAUUCACAAUGUGUUCCCAGAGCUCAGCACAGUGUCAGGCACACACUAGGUGAGUAAGAAACAAUUGCUUCCUCUACCUCUUCCCCUGCUAGCCCCAAGUUCAGCUAACUGGCUGUGUGACCCUGGGGAUUGCUUUUCACCUCUCUGGUCCCUUAUUCUCCCUUGUGGACAAAGGAUGGCCUGGGCAUGAGUUUCUUCAAGGACUCGGGUAGCAGUGAAAUCCCUGGGACCCUAGCCUCAGUACCUCCCCAGGCAAUGGGGUAGAGAGCAAGAAGGCAGGUGAGCAAGGACCAGCCUCCGCCACGCAGACACCCUCUUUCCGGCUUCUCUGUCCUCCUACUUUGCCCUGGGUUUGUGGACUUACUCUGGGCAGAUCUCCACGACCAACCACCCCCUCCCUUGGCAUGUCUGUCAGCACCCUUGGGGGAAAGAAUUUGGAAAGGGGAGGGAGAAAAAGAAAGCAGGGUGCGAGGGGCUGGUUCCCACACCUGUGUAAAUAAUUUGUCAUCUUAAAAUGCUCAAGUAUGCUCACCUUUAA